rnacentral:snRNA from 1 species
AGAACUGCCCGGAGGUUUCGAUCCACCUUGAUCAGCAAGGUCCUCCCAGGCCGAGGCCUGUCCAUUGCACUGCGGGUGGGUUGACCCCUGCGAUCACCCCAAAUGUGGGUGACUCGAGUGCGUAAUUUAUGCGUAAGGGGGACUGUGCUCGCGCUAUCCCCUU